rfam:Oryza meridionalis cultivar OR44 (W2112) chromosome 1, whole genome shotgun sequence.
AACAAACGCAGUCAUGAAUUUCAGUGUUCAACUUUGAUCGUCCGUCUUAUUUAAUUUUUUUACUAUUAAUAUUUAUACUGUUAUUAAAUUAUAAAAUAUGAAUAAUAUUUUAUACGUGACUUAUGUUUUUUAGUUUUUCUAAAAAUAUUUUAAAUAAAACGGACGAUUAAAUUCGUACACGGAAAUUUAUUGUUGCAUUUAUU